CAUCGACUUUCGUGUGGGUUGUCGAGCUCACACAGUCAUGAGAAAUUACCGCCAACUCCGCAAAUUUGUUUUAGAUACGCGCUCCCACGCGCUCGUGCUCGCUAUUGGCGCUUUUGAUUGGUCGUCUACAUAUAGUGUUUAAAAGCGCUUUUCCUCAGACUGCACUCUUUAUUCGCACUGGAUUGAUUUGUAGUCUAACUGAAAAUGGUUCGCACGGUCAUUCUGAUGUGUCUUCUGGUUGGUGGGAUAGAGUGUUCUUUAGUCAGGGAAGAUGUAGAGAAUCUAAAACAGUUAGAGGGACGAUCUGUUACUCUAAAAAAUGGUCUCAAUGAACUACAGACAGAUCAGGAGAUACUGUGGAUGUUUGAUGAUGAAAGAACAAUCUUAGCAAAGAUCAACAGAGAAACAAAUGAGACGUCAAUACCUGGAAAUGCUGAUGAGAGAUUCAGAGACAGACUGAAGCUGAACGAUACGACGGGAGAUCUCAUCAUCACACACAUCAAGACCUAAGACUCUGGAGAUUAUAAGAUGGAGAUCAGAGACAACACAGAUACAAUACACAAGACAUUCAGAGUUCAUGUUUACAAGACUUAUUUAAUAGAGGUGCUUUUGCUGGUGCCGAUGGAUGGAUCUGUUACUCUAAAAACUGGUCUCAAUGAACUACAGACAGAUCAUGUGAUACUGUGGAUGUUUAAUGGUGAAAGUAAAAUCUUAGCAAAGAUCAACAGAGAAACAAAUGAGACGUCAAUACCUGGAAAUGCUGAUGAGAGAUUCAGAGACAGACUGAAGCUGAACGAUAAGACGGGAGAUUUAUUGUCAUGAACAAUUGUUUUCAAUGUUUAUUUGUUGUUUUGCUCACAACACCACUUGCUGUACAACAAUGACAUUUUAUCUAAUUAUAAAAAUCUGUUAAACUCAAACAGUCUGAUUUACAAAAGAGAAAUUAAAUAUCUGAACAAGUUCAUGUUGAAUGUUUUUUUCAAUAUUUUACAACUUUUAAUUUCGGUAUGAUUUACAUUUUUAUUGUGUCCUCAACUUUGACACAGUUUAUAUUUAUUUUUUGUAAUUAUGUGAAAAAGUCUUUGUUUUUAAACUGUUUACAAUAGUUUUGUGUUUGUGUUGUUCAACAGAGAUUAAUGUUCCAGAGGAGUCUCUGCUGGUAACGGAGGGACGAUCUGUUACUCUAAAAACUGGUUUCAAUGAACUACAGACAGAUCAGGAGAUACUGUGGAAGUUUGAUGAGGAAAAUAAAAUCUUGGCAAAGAUCAACAGAGAAACAAAUGAGACGUCAAUACCUGGAAAUGCUGAUGAGAGAUUCAGAGACAGACUGAAGCUGAACGAUAAGACUGGAGAUCUCAUCAUCACACACAGCAAGACCUCAGACUCUGGAGAUUAUAAGAUGAAGAUCCAAGACAAGACAGAGACAAUACACAAGAGAUUCAGUGUUUAUGUUAAAGAUUCAGUAAAAACUAAAGAAAAUGAAUUAACAACAGUUGUGAAGACUUUACUGAUUAAAGCAGAAGAUGAAGUUUGAUCAGCUGAUAGAUGCUCAUCAUCACAUCUGUUACAUCAUCAACAUCUACAGUUUUACUAUCUCAUGAUCUGUCCUCUUUAAAAGAUCAUCUUCAUAUGCUGUUGAGCUCAAUUGAAAAAUAUAUAUAUUUUUUUAAUAAUUACUUAAACAACUAUCAGCUAAAUAUAAACAUUAUUAAAAAAGUGUUUGUGUCUGAUCAUUUAUGUCUUUUAAUGGAUAAACUAGUAAUGGCUGUUUUAACAGUAAACACAUGCUAGUGUUGUGAUCGAGCUCCUCAACAUGUUAUACUAAAUACACAAUGCAUGACAUUAUUAAUAAAUGAAUAAAGUGGUUCUUUGUA